GUCAGACUCCCGAGUAGCUGGGACUACAGGCGCCCGCCAUGAUGCCCGGCUAAUUUUUUGUAUUUUUAGCAGAGACGGGGUUUCACCCUGUUAGCCAGGAUGGUCUCAUCUCCUGACCUCGUGAUCCGCCCGCCUAGGCCUCCCAAAGUGCUGGGAUUACAGGCGUGAGCCACCGCGCCCGGCCUAAUAAAGGACAAUUUUUAAUAGCCACUGGACUAUUUAAGUGAUCUCUUCUGUCAGUUUCUUUUACCAUCAGAGGACACAGCAGCAAGGUGCCAUCCUAGAAGCAGAGAGCAGACCCUUACCAGACAACCAACCAGCUGGUGCCAUGAUCUUGGACUUCUCGGCCUCCAGAACUCAACAACAAGAAACAAAUUUAUUAGCUAACCUAACCACUAAUGACGCAAGAGACAAUUCUAAGGACUUUCAAAACAGCAAAGUAGGAGCAGCUGCUACCUCUAGGGAUGAGGGAUGCAAUUGUCCAAUUAUUGGUGAAAUUGUCAUUUCAUGCUAUUGGCUAUUUGAAAUUCCUCCUCUAAUUUCAGAAUAAAUCACUGAAAUUGACAUCGGCCAGUCUGAAUUUCAAGAAAUUACCUGCUGAAGACAAGAGGGAUCUCUUCUUCAGAUUUGCAGUCUGGGGAAGACACAGCCUCUACUGUACUUUAGAACCUGAGAUAUGGUGGUGGAGGGAGCCCUGGGUCGAGUGGUAAGAUUCACCCUUAGGUCAGAGCUCCGGACUCCAGCCCCAUGCAACUUCAAAAUAUGACAAAUGUCUUGAAGGGGAGAUUGGCAUGCAGAUGAGGAAGGCCCUCUCGCCAACACAUUUGUAUUUCCUCUGUACUGUGAGACUGUGGGAGAUUUACUGCGACAUUUAGAAGCUUUCUUCCAAACUCCUGGGCCUCCGACACUGGUUCUAAACUCAGCAAAUGUUCUUUGGGAAAAACAGACAGUGCAUGUGAGGCCCCUCGAGUUUGGAAUUUAUGUCUCCAGCUUCACAUGGUCUCUCAAGUGCUUAUGCUUUUCUUCUCUCUGCCACCCACAUUCCCACAUCCCGCCCACCCCCCAACUUUCCUCCCUUCACCUUCCCAUGGAGACUUUUUGCCUGGGCUAAAUCUGAUCCUCAGCCCACUCUCAGAAUCGAUAAAUGCCCCUAGGUGAUUGUAAGCUCACCUAAGAUAUACUUUUUCUCCUCUAGAAUUUUAGUUUAUUAGAUUUUUCUAGUUGUCUUUGCAAAAGCGUUAACAGGCUCUGACUUCUGACAUUCAACUAGAUGUGGAAUAUCCAACCCCUAGCAUUUCAUGGAAUGUACUGACCAAGAUAAAAUGUGUUCUUAUUAAACAAUGCCAUUUCUUGACCACUUCUGUUUUUAGGAAUUGUGGUAUCUGAGUCAUGGUGAUUAGAAGUACUAAUGAAAUAAAUGGGAAAAUUAAACUUCUACUAACAUUUCAUAUAGUAGGGAGAUGUCUGUGAAGAAUUAUAACUGGUACAGAUUUUGUGUUUAUAAACAAGGAGACAGAAAAUGCAGAAAAUAAAAAAUAUUUUAUUUAGUUUUAAAGUGGUCAGAGUACUUUGUUUCUAAUCUCAUAACAUUAACUAGCAACAGAUUGAACUUUUAAGCAAAUUCCUCUGACCUAGUAGCUACUAGGAUUACCUACUGCAUGUAGAAACCAUUCUUAACUUGAGGGCCACAUAAAAAGAGGCCAUUGUCAGUAAUUUGCCAACCCUUGAUCCAGACCAUGUAUUGCUCUACCUCUAAACCAUAGUUGCUUCAUUUGCUUAAGUCUUUUCACAUAAUAAAACCCUUAUUAUAAGGAGGUGGUGCUGUUACCAGGACAACCAGGAACUGGGCCUCUACUAUUGUCAGCUGAAUUCUCUGCUCCGUUGUCAAUUCUCAACUCCAUUUCUGGCUUACCUCAAACAGAGUCACAAGAAAGUAAAUAUUUUGCAAUCUUCUUGUCCUUAGCUGUUCGUUCCUCCAGAAUGACAUAGAGAUUUGUAAAUAUUCACUGGAAUUCAAUGGCUUCAUGCAUUCUAUUUCCACAAACAAAUCCUGAUACAUUUCUCUCCUUCAAUAUAAAGUACUCAUUUUCUGAUCCGUAUUAGCCAGCAUCUUGCACUCCAAAUAACCAGUAACAAAAAGAUCCAUGGGUUGAGGUGAGAUUAUUGCUUUAGAUAGAGAAGUAUCUGACCAUUGUUAAUUACUUUGAAAACAGAUAUGUCAAAAAAGAUAAAACAUACAUUUAUUGUCCCUGACAAUUUACAAACCAAAAUAUACCAUAAUGCAACAAACUAUCUGGGUUGUGGCUUAUCUCCUCAGUUGAAACACUAUUGCCAAUGCUAAACAAUGGAACACAGUAUUUGGCUAUUGGCUAAAGAAAAUGAUGUUCAUACAGCUUAGACAGAAAUUAGUCAUUGAGUCACUAGAGACUAUAAGCAGCAUAUGAAUGCCUGAAACUUACAGAAGAAUCAAUACAGGCUAUUAAACUCUCAUUUCUUAGAAUACCGUAUACUUGCGUGUUUAAACUGACAUCUUAAAAAGUUUUGUAAAGAGCAAUUCAAACUCACAGCAUGAUAAAUAAUCUUUAGGUUUAAUGAGACCUCAAGAACUAGACCAGCUUGAAGCAUGCCAUCUUACCUAGUUACUUAAGAAGCUAGUUUUUCCUUUUGUAACAUGAUCUCAGAAAAAAGAAAAUAUAAUCAUUGUUCUAAGGCAAUCCACAAACUCUGUUACUCCCAUUACAUUUUCAAAACUGCAGACACUCAGGGGGUGUCCGAUUCAUGCCUGGGGCCAUGUGAAACACCCACCUCUGUGAGUAGCUUUAUUAACUCUAUAAACACUUCAAGACAUUCCUAGCAGUGUGGGGUAGCACACAUAUCUAUUGUCUAUCUUAGGUUUGGAAUCAUUUUUCCUCUUAAAAAUAACACACUGAACCAAUUAGCUUUUCUAAAUCAAAUUAACCUAAUAGCAUUCAAAAACUGACAAACAUAAUCUGCUUGUUCUAAGACAAAAGUGGAUUAGUGAACAGAAUCAUAUCUCUAGUCAGGUCCAAAUCAAGUUAUAAAUUCUAACCAAACAGUGAUUGCUGGAAUAAGUCAUAUUAUUAGUAUGCAUAGUCAUACUGAUCUCAAAUGUAAGCAACAUAGGCCUUUUCAGCAGGGAGAUAUAAAAGUUUAGAGUUGAAGAAUGUCUUUUCAUGUUGUGGUAGAGAGCUUGUUUCCUUUGACGUACAUGGCUCCCUCAAGCCUUAGGCUAUUUAGUUACAUCCCUUGUAGUCACAGGAAGGAAUAGCACUCCUCAUUUUUCUAUACCAUCUUUUAGGCAUGUUAUUGUUUAAUACUUUUUUUUUUGUUGCCUGCCUGCUGCUUGUUAGUAUAUGCACCAAAGCAAAUGAGGUAAGACUUCAAUGCAUCAAAUGCUUUUCCUUAAAACAACAUUUUUAUUGAAAUAUGAAACAAAUAUUUUUAUUACCUUCUUUAUAGAAGUAUUUUUUAAAGAAUAGUGAUUGAUAAUAUUGACAGAAAGGAGGACCUAUGAAUUAUCUAUAAAUUAUCUUUAUAUUUGAACUAUUCACAAAUGCAGAAAAUUUAAAAAUCAAAUACAUUUUUCACUUGCUAAUAUAUCUUUUCAUGAGACAUUAUCCUAUAAAAUCCACAGAGGGAUGUGUCCAUUUCUAUUCUCUGCCAACCCUUUUGGUACCACCCAUUGGACAUAACAUUUAGAAUUAAAUUAAGGUUAUCACUAUUGUUAAGCAAAUACUAUUAGAGGUUAGACUGGCAGGUCUUCAGAAAUAGCUCACACUGGAGCCAUGCAUCUCAGUACUCACACUCCUGUGUAGCCUCCUUUCCUUGAAUCUGAGAAUCUGAGAUGGUCCUGUAACUUGUUUUUAACCAGAAGAACAUGGUAGAAGUGAUACUGCCUGACUUCUGAGAUAAAAUUGUAAGAUUCCUUGCAGAUUUUCACCUAGGUCCCUUGGAAUGAGUACCCUGGAAAAAGCCAGCAGACACCACGCUGUGAGCAAAUGCCCAACCUAGCCAAGCAGUGGAGCAACAUGGGGAAAACGGAGAUACGUGGACAUUCUCCAGCUAUUUCAGUCAACCCAGCCAAGGAGAAGACAUGUGAGUGUAGAUGCUAUUGUAUAUGUCUAGGCCAGUAAAGCCUUUAGCAAGCUGGAGCCCCAGCAGCUAUUUGAAUUCAAUGAGAGACCCCAAGUGAGAGCCACCAUAUUGACCCAAUCAACACACCGAAGUGUGAGAGAGAAUAAUUAAGUGCUAGCCUAAGCCACUGAAUUUUGAGGGUGGUUUGUUACACAGCAAUCAACCAAAGCAAAGAUAUUGGUUACUUGUUUGGGGGUUUCAUUUUUAAUUAUAACAUUCCAUGGCUUCUAAACAAAUUUUGCACUUAUAAUUUUAUCAAUUUACUGAUAAUCCUGCUGUCCUUGUUUUGUAUCUACAAUGCUUAGAUUAGAAAAUCUAAUGGAGAAGUGUGUGUGUUUGUGUGUGUGUGUGUGUGUGUGUGUGUGUGUAUUUCACUCUUUUAUAUAAUGGAUUUUGAGGAACAACUAGAUUGGCUUUCUAAGAGAGGGGGAAAUGCUUCUGAAUAUUUUAAGUAAAAUUUUGAUCUACAACAACUCUGCUGUAAAUGUUUAAUAUAAUAUUAUUUUGAGACUUUGCAUGAGCUAAAAACAUCUAAAGCUAAUAAAGCCAGGCUUUUAAAGAGAAAAAGAGUAAUUAUAGGUUGCCUGUAAGAAACUCACUUACUUUACUUUUUUAUUUAUCUAUUUUUUAACUUAUCAUUUUAGAUACUCUCUGAAUUUUAAUUGUAGUGUUUAGAUGUUGAUCUGUCUUUACAUGUCAAACAUUUAAAUUAACUCUUUUGCCUGAAAGAAGAAAUACCAAGAUACAUAAAUUGAAUAAAAGGAGUGGUCUUGAGCACCAUAAAAAUACAAUGUUUGGGCCGGGCAUGGUGGCUCAUGCCUGUAAUCCCAGCACUUUGGGAGGCCGCAGCUGGUGGAUCACGAGGCCAGGAGAUUGAGACCAUCAUGACUAACACAAUGAAACCCCAUCUCUACUAAAAAUACAAAAGCAAAUUAGCCAGGCGUGGUGGCAUGCACCUGUAGUCUCAGCUACUCGGGAGGCUGAGGCAGGAGAAUUGCUUGAACCCAGCAGGUGAAGGUUGCAGUGAGCUGAGAUCACACCACUGCACUCCAGCCUGGGUGACAGAGAGAGACUCCGUCUCAAAGAAAAACAAAACGAUGUUUCAAAAUCUACACAGAAAAGAAAAAGAGGGGAGAAGAAAACUAAAAAGAGACUCUAAGAAAAAUAUUGAAGAAGAAGAUGGUUGGUGAAGGGGAUAUUGCUCUAGUACUAGUAUUUCUUUAGGCAGCUGUUUAAUGUUGCCUCUGAAUAAGUACAUAUUUUAAGGCAGUUAACAAUCUGGUUUAUGAAAAAAUGGGAAAUCACUGUGUGUUAGUGAGCCAGACAGAUGUGUAUAGUGUGGAUAGGGUUCUCUCUUUAAAAUGCACAGAACUGGAAUUUAGCGUUAACCUCAUAAGCACUUGAUGUUCAUGUGGGUGCUCACCAGGCAAUAUGCUCCAGCUAUUGAACAGAAUGCAUUCACUUGCUGUAUACUGAGUGGUCCCCUAGUAAGCUGGAAAAAGUUGUACUUAUGUCAUGUUUAAUUUAUAUAGUGUAGACAUCAUGAAUAAUUAAAUUUAAUAACUACUCAAUGUCAGUGUUUAUAUAUGGCUAGUAGCCAAUAUUUUUUGGUUCUUCAAGAAGAAAGGUACAUGUCUUAGGAAAACUUGAUACAGGAAAAUAUCAGUAUUCUCACUUCAGAGUCAUUCCUUUGGGGAAAAAAAAAGGCUACAAAUUUCCUAACUACGUGUUAAGCAUUGGUGCAGGCAUUGAUAAAGUUUGGAUGUUUGUCCCCCACAAAUGUCAUAUUGAAAUGUAAUCCCCAAUGAAGACGGGGCCUGGUAGGAGGUGUUGGCAUCCUGGGGUCAGAUCUCUCAUGAAUGGCUUGGUGUUGUCCUUGGGAUAGUGAGUAAGUUCUUGCGAGAUCUAGUUGUUUAAGAGUCUGGCACCUCCUCCCUCUCUCUCUUGCUCCCUCGCUCUCACCAUGUGACAUGCUUGCUCUCCCUUCACCUUCUGCUAUGAUUGGAAGCUUACUGAGGCCCUCACUAUGAGCAGAUGCUGGAACAAUGCUUAUACAGCCUGCAGAACUGUGAGCCAAUUAAACUUCUUUUCACAUUACCCAGCCUCGGGUAUUUCUUUAUAGCAAUGCAAGAGUUGGCUAACAUGGGCAUAGAGGGCAUAUAGCAGCUACAUUUGCCUGAGGUGUAUAGCAAAGGUGGUGUCAGGAAAGGUUAGCAUUGAGCUUUGUUCUUUAAAGUGAGUAAGUUACCAGGAUGGUAAAGGAGUAUCGAUGCAAAGUAAGGAGUGGAGAAAUACAUUUUAAGUGGAGGGAAUUAUUUAAAACAGGGCCCGAAUGUCUUCCUCGGGUGUUGCCAUAUAUUGUAUCUGAACAUCUUAUAUAGUAUUUAUUAUUUGAUGAUGUAAAAUCAGUUUCUUAUUGUUUCCUUCUUUCUCUAGAUUGCAAGCUUAGGGGGCAGCAAUAAUACGUCACUUAUGUUUGAGUCCUAAUUCCUCAUACAGUCUUUGGCAUAAAUAAUAGGCACUCAGUAAUUACUAUAAAUAAAGAAAGAAAAUAGCUGUAGUAAAAAUGGAUAACAUUUGUUGUAACAGUUUCAUUUAGAUAUUUAUGAGAGUGUUAGAGCUCCCUGUUAUAUUGUAAGAUUUUUUAGGGAAGGGAUCUUGCAUAAGUUUUAUCCUUUAAAUGGUGCCUGACUCAUAGUUAGAACCCUAUGGAAAGCAAAUUAUAGUCCUUUACAUUUCUUUAAUCAGCCAGGGCCUAAUUUAACCCUAUACGUUUAUAUAAAGGGCAGAAAUUAUUACAAUAAAUAAUCUUGAAACAGCAGAAUUCUGCAUUACAAAUAUGAGGCUGCCAUAUUUCUGUGUUUCUGGUUGCCUAGAAACAAAAAUGUGAAGUUGUAUGAAACUAUAAGAGUUUGUACUCAUAAGAUAUUCUAUGCAAAGUUCAGCCUGCCUCUCUGGGUUUGGAAAGCAUCAAUUCUGAGGAGCUUCAGACAAUAUUGCGGUCUUCAUAGCUGAAAGUUUGCAAAGUUGGGCUUGUUUCAUGGUAUUACCGGCAUAUCCAAUUAGCUAAAGAAAAUAAUUCUUCAUUUAGAGUAUCCAGAACAGACCAAUAACAAUAUUGUUCAAUAACAACUGCUCUAAAU
rnacentral:lncRNA from 10 species